UCCCAUAUAACAUCGGUUUCUCCAACCGAUCUCAUCGUCGGCGAUGUCUGUUGUUCUCUUAAACACCUGUGUUUUUUUCACCAAAAGGAUUACAGAAGAUAGAUCUACUGAUUAGGCGUUAAGAUCAUGCCAUAUGAAGGUUUGGAAUACGAAGACCCUUCUAUCUGAUUGCUAGAGCCCGUAACCUGUAGAAUCAUGAAGAAAACACCUCGUUGAAGUUAUCAAUGGGUAAGGAAUGCGGAGAAGAUCUGUUUUGUUCACGGUUUGCAAGUAGUAGUUGGCAGGAGUUUCAGCUUUUUAAUAAUAACAAAAGGGACAUGGGACAGAUGGGAUAUAUAGAAAAGACCAGGGAGAGACAUGUUGAAGGAGAGAGAUGAUCA